GAUGAACGCUAGCGGCAGGCCUAACACAUGCAAGUCGAGGGGUAGAGUUCCUCGGGACUUGAGACCGGCGCACGGGUGCGUAACGCGUAUGCAAUCUACCUUAUACAGGGGAAUAGCCCCAGAGAAAUUUGGAUUAAUGCCCCAUAGUGUUAUCGAAUCGCAUGGUUUGAUAACUAAAGUUCCAACGGUAUAAGAUGAGCAUGCGUCCCAUUAGUUAGUUGGUAAGGUAACGGCUUACCAAGACAAUGAUGGGUAGGGGUCCUGAGAGGGAGAUCCCCCACACUGGUACUGAGACACGGACCAGACUCCUACGGGAGGCAGCAGUGAGGAAUAUUGGUCAAUGGGCGCAAGCCUGAACCAGCCAC
rnacentral:rRNA from 1 species